UACGGAGGGUGCAAGCGUUAUCCGGAUUUACUGGGUUUAAAGGGUGCGUAGGCGGACAGGUAAGUCAGUGGUGAAAUCCCCGAGCUCAACUUGGGAACUGCCGUUGAUACUAUCUGUCUUGAAUACCGUGGAGGUGAGCGGAAUAUGUCAUGUAGCGGUGAAAUGCUUAGAUAUGACAUAGAACACCGAUUGCGAAGGCAGCUCACUGCGCGGUCAUUGACGCUGAGGCACGAAAGCGUGGGGAGCAAACAGG
rnacentral:rRNA from 1 species